rnacentral:rRNA from 1 species
AUUGAACGCUGGCGGCAUGCCUUACACAUGCAAGUCGAACGGCAGCACGGACUUCGGUCUGGCGGCGAGUGGCGAACGGGUGAGUAAUGUAUCGGAACGUACCUUUCAGUGGGGGGAUAACGUAGCGAAAGUUACGCUAAUACCGCAUAUUCUGUGAGCAGGAAAGCAGGGGAUCGCAAGACCUUGCGCUGAUUGAGCGGCCGAUAUCAGAUUAGCUAGUUGGUGAGGUAAAGGCUCACCAAGGCGACGAUCUGUAGCGGGUCUGAGAGGAUGAUCCGCCACACUGGAACUGAGACACGGUCCAGACUCCUACGGGAGGCAGCAGUGGGGAAUUUUGGACAAUGGGGGCAACCCUGAUCCAGCCAUGCCGCGUGAGUGAAGAAGGCCUCGG